UUACUUUAAGGCAGGGCUGUCCAACCUGCAGCCCCCAGAUGUUGCUGAACUACAACUCCCAUGAUUCCCUGGCUAUCUUUUUAAUUGACUGAAUCAUGGGAGUUGUAGUUCAACAACAUCUGGGGGGGGGCGCAGGUUGGACAGCCUUGUCUUAAAGGGU
rnacentral:miRNA from 1 species